AUAAGAAAAGAUAAAUUUGCAAAUAUUGCUGUUAUAAAAGUACAUGUGACACUCGUAAGAUUUGAAAUAGCCUUAUAUAUAAAAGAUAUAAUAGGACUAAAACUUUUAAUCUGGCUAUAGUCUUUUGGGUGUUGGUUAGGUCCAAAAGGCUAAAGGAGUUAAGUGUGUUAGAGCUAGAGUAGCUUUAGGAUGAGUGAUGUCCCCCUG
rnacentral:lncRNA from 1 species